AAGUUAUCACGAAAGGCGGAGGGAAAGACCCGAUGAAACCUUAGCAACCCUUUACUAUAAAGAAGGUGCUACAUUCUACUUUAAACUGGUACUCAGUACAAAAGAUAGAUAACAU
rnacentral:ncRNA from 2 species